CUAUGUUGGUCUGCGAGAAAUCAAACUUCGAACAGGACAAGCCCGAAGCCCGCUUCUCCGGGAGACGGGGUGCCACAAUUGCAAGAUCUCAGGUCCGGGAGGCCCAAUUUGAUGAGCUCUUGAACCAAAUGAGGCAUCGAAGCCAUGAGGAAAUACUAAAGUUUCAUCUAAGAAAGGCCAAAGAUUUUCUGAAGAACAUGAAAUCCAGGUCGGCUGACGAGAUGCCAAAAGACAGAAAAGGCUGGCCUGAAAUUUAUAAUUAUGGUCACAGGCAGCCCACUCAGGUGCCUAGCAGCUUAGUCAGCAAGCUAAGGACUAAAGUUUUGCCUCUAACUUAAGGGAGUCUUGUGGUCCUUUGUAGCUUUGCUCUCAGCCCACAUAGAAGCUUUAAAAGAGAAUGUUGAAACGUUUGUAGAGGAUGGUUUUAAGGCAAUGUACUUUAAAGUGUGACAUAAAUUGUGUGUUGAAAAAAGUAA
ensembl:lncRNA novel transcript